AAUCCGUCGUUGCCCAAGAACUACCGGUGCACUGCCCAAUUCCUGCAGGUCGACUACCCAAAUUUCUGCAGGUGGCUUCCCAGCCGCAGUGGUUGCCCUGCUGCAGCCUCACGGACUGCUUUGUUAUCCCCUUGGCGCUCUCAGUUCGUCGCCCCCACCGCUUAUGGUUGGACUGCUCAAUGCUCUGUUAUCCCUCUCAGGCUUCAGUCCGCACCACCGCGGCCACCGAGCAGCGAUGUUCCCGGCUGGGCGGCCAUGCCCCCAAGCGGUAAUAUCCCAUGUAGAGUUGAUAGAUGCUGAAACAUCAGGUUAACACCACGGAUAUGUCUGUUGUAACCUUUGAAGGCUUGGGGAUAUGCGUGAGCAAGGAUGGCACCACACCUGUAUGUCAGAUUGAUAUGUUCUUUUGUAA